rnacentral:rRNA from 1 species
AGGACGAACGCUGGCGGCGUGCUUAACACAUGCAAGUCGAGCGAGGUCCAACUGGUGGCAACACCAGGGAAGACCGAGCGGCGAACGGGUGAGUAACACGUGAGCAACCUGUCCCGAAGACCGGGAUAACACCGGGAAACCGGUGCUAAUACCGGAUGUCCCCACCAGAUCACAUGGUUCGGUGAGGAAAUGGAUUCCGCUUCGGGAGGGGCUCGCGGGCUAUCAGCUUGUUGGUGGGGUAACGGCUCACCAAGGCAUCGACGGGUAGCUGGUCUGAGAGGAUGAUCAGCCACACUGGGACUGAGACACGGCCCAGACUCCUACGGGAGGCAGCAGUGGGGAAUCUUGCACAAUGGGCGAAAGCCUGAUGCAGCAACGCCGCGUGCGGGAUGAAGGCCCUAGGGUUGUAAACCGCUUUCAGCAGGGAAGAAAUGACGGUACCUGUAGAAGAAGGUGCGGCCAACUACGUGCCAGCAGCCGC